AUUGAACGCUGGCGGCAUGCCUUACACAUGCCAGUCGAACGGUAACAGGUUAAGCUGACGAGUGGCGAACGGGGGAGUAAUGUAUCGGAACGUGCCCAGUCGUGGGGGAUAACUGCGCGAAAGAGCAGCUAAUACCGCAUACGACCGGAGGGGGAAAGCGGGGGAUCGCAAGACCUCGCGCGAUUGGAGCGGCCGAUAUCAGAUUAGGUAGUUGGUGAGGUAAAGGCGCACCAAGCCGACGAUCUGUAGCUGGUCUGAGAGGACGACGAGCCACACUGGGACUGAGACACGGCCCAGACUCCUACGGGAGGCAGCAGUGGGGAACUUUGGACAAUGGGCGCAAGCCUGAUCCAGCCAUGCCGCGUGCGGGAAGAAGGCCUUCGGGUUGUAAACCGCUUUUGUCAGGGAAGAAAAGGUUCUGGCUAAUACCUGGGACUCAUGACGGUACCUGAAGAAUAAGCACCGGCUAACUACGUG
rnacentral:rRNA from 1 species